AAUCAACGCUGGCGGCGUGCCUAACACAUGCAAGUCGAACGCGAAAGGGGCUUCGGCCCUGAGUAGUGUGGCGAACGGGUGAGUAACACGUGGGUGAUCUACCUCUGAGUGGGGGAUAACGUUCCGAAAGGAGCGCUAAUACCGCAUGACGUUCCGGGUUUGAAGACCUGGAAACCAAAGCCGGGGACCGCAAGGCCUGGCGCUUGGAGAGGAGCCCGCGCCUGAUUAGCUAGUUGGUGGGGUAAUGGCUCACCAAGGCAACGAUCAGUAGCCGGCCUGAGAGGGCGGACGGCCACACUGGGACUGAGACACGGCCCAGACUCCUACGGGAGGCAGCAGUGGGGAAUUGUUCGCAAUGGGCGCAAGCCUGACGACGCAACGCCGCGUGGAGGAUGAAGGUCUUCGGAUUGUAAACUCCUGUUGAUCGGGACGAACGGACCCCGACCUAAUACUUCGGGGUAGUGACGGUACCGAUUGAGGAAGCCACGGCUAACUCUGUGCCAGCAGCCGCGGUAAUAC
rnacentral:rRNA from 1 species